UACGGGGGGGCAAGCGUUGUUCGGAAUUACUGGGCGUAAAGGGCUCGUAGGCGGCCAACUAAGUCAGACGUGAAUCCCUCGGCUUAACCGGGGAACUGCGUCUGAUACUGGAUGGCUUGAGAUUGGGAGAGGGAUGCGGAAUUCCAGGUGUAGCGGUGAAAUGCGUAGAGUAUCUGGAGGAACACCGGUGGCGAAGGCGGCAUCCUGGACCAACACUGACGCUGAGGAGCGAAAGCCAGGGAGCAAAGCGG
rnacentral:rRNA from 1 species